rnacentral:rRNA from 1 species
AGAGUUUGAUUAUGGCUCAGGAUGAACGCUGGCGGCGUGCUUAACACAUGCAAGUCGAACGGAGCUUAUUGGAAAGCUUGCUUUCGUUAAGCUUAGUGGCGGACGGGUGAGUAACGCGUGAGCAACCUGCCCUAGAGUGGGGAAUAACACCGAGAAAUCGGUGCUAAUACCGCAUAAUGUCGGAGGACCGCAUGAUCCACCGACCAAAGGAUUUAUUCGCUUUAGGAUGGGCUCGCGUCCGAUUAGGCAGUUGGCGGGGUAACGGCCCACCAAACCAACGAUCGGUAGCCGAACUGAGAGGUUGAUCGGCCACAUUGGGACUGAGACACGGCCCAGACUCCUACGGGAGGCAGCAGUGGGGAAUAUUGGGCAAUGGGCGAAAGCCUGACCCAGCAACGCCGCGUGAAGGAUGAAGGUCUUCGGAUUGUAAACUUCUUUGAUUGGGGAAGAAUAAAUGACCUACCCAAAGAACAAGUCACGGCUAACUACGUGCCAGCAGCAGC